UCGUCUUUACGUCAAGGCCUUUUUCGGUUCCCUUUCUCGAGACCGAAUUUGCUCAUCGUCACUUCACUCUUGCAGAUCGUCGUUGCGAUCUCCGGUUUCGAUGAAAAGGAGACGAUGACCAUGUUAUCACGAUGUGGAGAUUGUCUCUUAGUCUUCCCGUGCGCUGCCGUGGAAAAUAGACUGGAGGGGGUUAGGGUUCGGUAGUGUUUUGCAGUUAUGCAAUUAGGGUUGUUUUGAUUUAAUUUCAUUCGACGGAGACGGUUGUGAAGGGCAAGCGAUACUAUUUGGCAAUUGGUUGAGAGGAGCUAUGGAUUUGGAGAUUGGAGGAGACAAAUGUACCCUGAUGGACUGACCAGUUUCGAUACAUCGUCAAUAAUAUGUCGAGGCAAGUGCAAUAUAUGAUUGACCACAGCAAUCUCCUCAUUGUUGAGAUAAAUCUGAACUAUGAAGUGGAAAGUGCCGGAUGGUCUCACUCGGAAUGUGCAGCUCAUUCGGCAACUCAACUGUGAUGUCGGGGAAAUAGUGCAUUUCUAUGUAAACAUGUCGUCGAAGUUUCGUUUUGUAAUAUGUUUGAAGAGCUGCAAGAGGUGAACUCGCUCCAGAAUAAUACUACCUUCAGGUCCGUUUGAAAUGGAUGUAGUGGUACGCCAGGGAUGCCUUCAGUGCUAUCGAAACAAAAACCACACACAAGAAGUUGCGCUCCGCAGACUUCUUUCACAUGCGAGGUGAAGUGGAUGGUCUCAGAUCUCCCUGGGAAAAUGCAUUGUAUUCUGAUUCAGUUGCUGAGAUUUGAGUGUCUUGGUAUUUGAUUUCACCAUAUCAGAUUGGACGUAACAUGUACAUUUUUAUUGUCAAACUUGCUUUAUUUUCGUGCUGCUGCGACAAUGACUUACUUUCGUGUAACUGAGUCAUUUUAGACUGGCUAAGAGGAUGAUUUUUCCUUAAAUAUUGGAAGGUGGCUAGAGCUCUUGUUGCAUAGUAUUACCGUGUUGCAUCGCUGUAGUAUUCAUUUUUAUUGCCAGAGGUAGGCGCGGUCAGCUACUUGAAUUUUCCUACUGUAUUGAUAUCUAGAAAUGUUCUAAUUGAAUACGCGCUGCUUGAUUGCAUUACGGUCAUGGUUCUCUUGUGUUUUUGAGUUUGAUUUGUUGCAAUAUCGAUUGACGUUUAUUACCGGUUCUCUAUCCUGUCGAGAUGUUUCAAGCUUCAUAGUAAGUGCUUUUUGACUUGACAGGACUGUAUGAAGCGCGUAUGAGAACGAACCAAACUUUGUUCCCUUUUGUCUUUCGCUUGUCCUUUGUGCAUAUUACUUGUUAGCCGUGAAAACCGAAGAGUUUCGGGAUGUGUAUCCAAAAUUUGAAGGGUUAGACAUGUGUAAACUCUAACGGGAUGCAAGUUCCUUGUAGUAGAAGAGUAUUUUGUCAUUUUUUGGUGUUUAUGUCCUGAAUGAAUGUCAUCAACGCCAUAGAAACUGCAGAGUAUGCUCAGCCUUUCAUCUUUGGAAAAUCCUAUCACAUUUUUGGACACUUUGUGACUCUGUCUCAGUCACUGCAGUAUGCUUGAAUUCUUAAGCAUGUUGAAUAGGUAUUAAGUUUCACAGUACUACAUUGGUGCAUUGCGUGUAUCGGGGAAUAUGGACACUGCUUACUGGCCAUUAUACACAAUGGGUAAGCACUGAAGUUUGUUCGUCUGAAUACCUGAGUUUUGAGGAACGAUAUCGUGAAUGAAGGAACAAUCCUUGAUUAGGCGACUUGACGGCUAUGUGCAACACCAUUUGGUAUUCUAAUUAAAAGGAUCUAAUGCUUUUGGAUGCCAAAAUCAAUCCGCGUCUCCAUUACCUAAAAUUGAGAUGGUUAGCAACUAUUUCAAUGCGAAAGAUGAAACCAUUUGAAUCAAGUUAGGUAACCUGUCUACUUGGGAAGUCUUUUAAGUUCACACCAGGACAGGGAGAUGAACUCCUUGUUGGAUUAUCUGGAUGAAGGUGUGUCGAUGGCAGAUAAGGAAUAAGAUGCCUAUGGACGCAAAGACAGUGACAGCACUAGGUAUGGUGAACUAACUCUAUAUUAUUUUACAUGCUUCCACAGCAUCUCUUGAAUAACAUUAAUUUGUGAGUGGUUUUCAAUUAUAGUUCUGUUUACCAGCGCCACAAUGUACUAUCAUCAUUUCUAGCUACAGGAGCAUCGUUAAGUAGAGAUUUGGAAAGUCAAAACCAGUGCAUGACAUUUUGAUUGCUAUCAUUUAUACCGGGACAUCUAGGUUGUGGUCAUGUAUUUUCCUUCAAAAAUCUUCCCGGACAGUGCAGUUUGGAUGUGAGAGCACAUUCCUCGGUACUUAGGGAUUAAACACUUAGAAUCAAGUUCGAGCAUUUGACUUGUGUGAUUGGACUUCAAUGUUAACCUCCUUUACACAUGCGUAUUGACCACGUCUGAUGGAGGUUCUCGUAUCAUUGAUCGUUUGGUGCAAAGUUCAUACCGUGUCUAGUGAGAACCAGUGUUGAUUCAAGCUACCAAUUUGCACUUACAUCAGUCGUGUUCAAGUGCACUCCUGGUUCUCUUGUUCGUAUCCUUUCUCAGAAAUUAGAAUAUCAUAAUGACUUGGUGUACAAGAGCCAUCCACUGGCAUUAUGAAUAGAUCUCUGCACACUUUAGCUGUAGACUGCAUGUUCAAAAUGCUGCUCCUCUCUAUGUAUAUGUAAGGGCAUUUUGUGAGACCAAUCUAGGUGAAGUUGAGAACAGUUUGUGUUUCAUUGUAUCAAAACUGAUGAUUGUGAUCAUUAAACAAAUGUUGUUUCAUUACCAGCCAAAUACAUUUUGUUAUGAGUUGGAUCUAUGUGCAGGAUUGAUUUCAAGGGGGAGGUGCUGGUGGGACAGUCUGAUGGCAUGCAAGAAUAAAUCUGGUGGAAGACACUGUUGUCACAGAGACAAGAGCCCCCCCCCCUGUGAAAUGUCACUUUCAAUAUGCCAGUCUGUUUGAGAUUGCACUUGGAUUGAUAUCAGUGGAUUACAGCGUGUUCUGUAAAUGAGUCUCUGAUAUUUUACCAGAAAGAAAAAGGACAGCAUGCAGUCAGCAAUAGAUCUUGAGAGUAUGAAUCUAGUGUGUGCAUCAACUGACUGAAGUGCUGGGAGGAUUUUUCUUUUUGCUCCGUGGCUCCUAGCUGUCACAGGAGAGGGACUGCUUCCUGAGCUUAACACGGUGGAGUGACAGUUGUGGUAUUAGUGGUAACUGUACAGCUUGUCUCUCAAGAGUUCAGAUCAGUCUUGGUGAUAUAUCCACAACCUUGUCAUGGCUGCAGCCAGCUGCCAGAGAGGACUCUUUGAGCAUCAUUCCAUUCACAAUUGUGUAUCUCAUGGCUGGUCUCACCUAAUCAUAAUCAGUGUGCACGCAAGGCAAUGUUUGUUAGUACAGAACCUGACAAAGUACACCAUUGUUAACCAGUUUUUUUCACCCUUGCAGCAAAACUUUUGUCCUCAAAUGGAACAAGCGAUGGCAUUUUUUUUCUGCAGGCAGAGGGAUUACCUCCACAGCAUAUGGCUGCCUCUAAUCAGGUUUUGUUGUAGCAUGCUGUCGUGGCAUCAGAAACCCUAAUUGCGUUGGAUAAGCACUCUCUCUCUCUUUCUUCCACGUCUCAAGCUGUUCUUGGUCUGGAGUCGGUUAAAUGCGCCAUGCAUUUGGCCCCUCCUGGGAACUGUAUGCUCUACCAACUGGUGUAUCGGAUGAAGACGUAUGAGUGAUGUGGAUUGGGGGCUGCAGAAGCCAGCACAUCACUGAGCUGCCAGUUUGCUUCGCUGAAGCAGCGGCCAUGUCUCUAUCGCUCGCUCUCUCUCUCUCUCUCUCUCUCUCAACUGUUGAGUAACUCAUGUCAGCCUCCCUAUACCAGUUGUCAACCAAGUGUUCUCCCUUUCAAGGGCGAACUUGUGUGACUCACUAUACGUCACCCUGCAUUGGAGAAGCUCAUGUGAUUUCAUGUGCCUUUCGGUUAAAAAGACCCUCGUUGCAUCAAAAACGUUCCCCUCCUGGUGGGCCUGAAUGAAAACAAAUUGGAACUGAAGCAGAGAAACUCUUCUGUUUCCUCACGGCCGACUUCUAGCCGAGUCAAUGUCCUUGUUCACAAAAAAAGAACCCCUUAUCCCCCGACUCGCACCUUCUCGUGAUGUGUCGUAUCCUCGUAGGUGCUCUGAACCUCGCCUCCCCAUUCUUCCCGAACCCAGUGCCUAUCAUGGCAUUGUCGUUGCAGGAAGCUCUCCCACCUACACUAGAUAGGCCAUUCCUCUUCCUCUGUUGUGGACAUUCACCGGUGCGUCUCACUCUCCCCCGCCCCAUUUCGUCAAAGGUCCUUUUUUGAAUCCACAGGGAGCUGCAUGUGUUUGAGCGUGUGCAUUCUGACUGAGUGUAUGAGUGAGGGAAGCAGAGUUUGCCGUGACGGUUUGUGAAUUGCAGCUCACCGGGGGAAAUACGGUUGCUCAUCAUGCUGCAACCCAGAUAGGCACAGUCGCUGACCUGGACCCCACGCCAAAGCCAGGUUGAUGAGAGUUCUGUCAGUGCCAAUUACCGCCAAUUGGUGACAAUUCCUCGCGAUCAAUUGCGCGAGAGCCGGGCUCCGAUGGGGUAAGCGCCGGUAGGGCCCCGCUUGGCGUUGAUCCAACCCAAUGGCGACGACGAGAGUGUGACCUACCUUGUAGCCCUCGGUUAAGAAAAUAAUGGAUGUGGACCCAAAAAAGUAACGGAAAAGGAUAGAGAGGAAGGCAAAAAAAAGUUCAUUCAUGCGGCGUUGCCUUUUCCUAUUUUAUUCGAUGUCCAGCUCCAAUCCUGAUAAACAAUCCCUUGACCCUCCAGGUGGCACUUAGCGACGCCGCCAAUGGGGUGCAAGCUUUGCAUAGCUGGCAAUGACACUCUGGAACUCGACCCCCCCGCGUCUCCCGUUCACACCUUCACGGAGAAUUAGGAUUGUGGAGUAGAGUGGAGGAAGUUGCGUAGGAGGUGCCCGGGCUUCCGACGCCUUUCACUUUCCUGGCUGUCAUUGAGGCAAGAGUUCAAAAGCUUGCACGUAAAAGACAGUAAGACAGUUCUUCUUCUUUUGAAAAAAUAUAUAAUAAUCAUUAAUGAGGAAAAUAAAGUUCGUGAAUUAUAUUGAAAGUU